CUAAAUGAUGAGACAUUAUUUUUUACUUUUUCUGGUACCUCUUGAUUUAGAAACCUCUGCGGAGGGGACGAUGAUCUUAACGGACUUCUGAUU
rnacentral:snoRNA from 1 species